rnacentral:rRNA from 1 species
CCCUUAGAUGUCCGGGGCCGCACGCGCGCUACACUGAAGGAAUCAGCGUGGCUUUCUCCCUGACCCGAAAGGGUUGGGAAACCCGUUGAAUCUCCUUCGUGGUAGGGAUUGGGGCUUGAAAUUGUUCCCCAUGAACGAGGAAUUCCCAGUAAGCGCGAGCCAUAAGCUCGCGUUGAUUACGUCCCUGCCCUUUGUACACACCGCCCGUCGCUACUACCGAUUGAACGGUUUAGUGAGGGCCUCGGAUUGGUCUCGGCCCGCUCUUUACCGGGCGGCGCCGUUGGUCGAGAAGACGCUCGAACUUGAUCGUUUAGAGGAAGUAAAAGUCGUAACA